rnacentral:rRNA from 1 species
AACGCAGGCGGUCUUUUAAGUCUGAUGUGAAAGCCUUCGGCUUAACCGAAGUAGUGCAUUGGAAACUGGAAGACUUGAGUGCAGAAGAGGAGAGUGGAACUCCAUGUGUAGCGGUGAAAUGCGUAGAUAUAUAGAAGAACACCAGUGGCGAAAGCGGCUCUCUGGUCUGUAACUGACGCUGAGGUUGAAAGCGUGGGUAGCAAACA